UUCAGAAUCUUGCACAAUGGGCGAAAGCCUGAUGCAGCCAUGCCGCGUGUGUGAAGAAGGCCCUCGGGUCGUAAAGCACUGUCAGGAGGGAAGAUAAUGACGGUACCUCCAAAGGAAGCAACGGCUAAUUACGUGCCAGCAGCCGCGGUAAUACGUAAGUUGCGAGCGUUAUCCGGAAUCACUGGGCGUAAAGCGUUCGUAGGCGGUGUAGUAAGUCGGAUUUGAAAGCCCGGGGCUCAACCCCGGAUCCGGAUCCGAAACUACUAUACUUGAGUGUAUCAGAGGGUAGCGGAAUUCCCGGUGUAGCGGUAAUAUGCGUAGAUAUCGGGAGGAACACCAGUGGCGAAGGCGACUACCUGGGGUACUACUGACGCUGAGGAACGAAAGCUAGGGGAGCGAACG
rnacentral:rRNA from 1 species